GUAAUAGGUAUGAUCUUGAAACUUAAAAAAUUUGGCGGUAUUUUAGUCUAUUCAGAGGAACUUGUUCUAUAAUUGAUAAGCCACGUUGGACCUUACUUAAAUUUGUUAUAUAACAGUUUAUAUACCGUCGUUAUCAGAAUAUUUUAUAAGAAUAAUAAUUUUCUUUAAUUUAAAUUAAAUUUUAUUUCAGAUCAAGGUGUAGCUUAUAUUUAAGAAGAAAUGAGUUACAUUAAAAUUAUUUAUACGAAUAUAAAUAUGAAAAAUUAAUUGAAGGUGGAUUUGAAAGUAAAAUUGUAAAGAU
rnacentral:rRNA from 1 species